rnacentral:tRNA from 1 species
GUCGCGGUGGCGAAAUGGCAAACGCGCCUGCCUACCAAGCAGGUGUCCUGAUGGGCUUGCGGGUUCGAAUCCCGUCCGCGACACCA